CCAAAGAUAUGCUAAAAACCAGCACAUUGUGUUAUGUGAAAUGUUUCGCUUGUCUCUUGGAAUGAUUGAUGUGAACCUGAGAAGAAUUUGAAAUGUGAGCAGCCAAGCAACCAGAAAUUAAGACCUUAUCUAAAAUUUAGGCAAAAACUCCAGACCACUGUAGUUAGGAAAUCGGGUUAGAAAUCUCCUGAGAAGUGACUUUCCCACAAGAUUUCUGCUGUUUCCUAGUUCUGAGUGGAUGAGAAAUAUGACAAAAAUGUACCAUUGCUUUUAGUAUCGCCUGUCCCUUUUUCUGGUUUGGGGUGAAAGUAGGAAACCAAGAGAUGCAAACAAACGGAUACACAAGUGUCCCUCCCGGGAGUCACCCUGGUUUUCGGGUUGCGGGAAUGUCGCAGGGUUUCUGUUUUCCAAGCUUUCUUUUCUGUUCCCAGAACCUCGGCCUGCAGGGAUGUGGCAUUGUUGUCACAGUGGAUGCGGGUGGCUGGACGCUUGCUCCCCUCGGGUGACCAGAACCUCGGCCUGCAGCGGAUGUGGCACUGUUGUCACAGUGGAUGCGGGUGGCUGGACGCUUGCUCCCCUCGGGUGACCAGAACCUCGGCCUGCAGCGGAUGUGGCACUGUUGUCACAGUGGAUGCGGGUGGCUGGAUGCUUGCUCCCCUCGGGUGACUUGACUUCAACUUCUGGCUGGUUCAGAGGGAAAGCAAGACUCGUGGUCUUGAUGGCCCCCGUUUUUGUGGGCAUCUGUUCGCGUGGGCCUUGCAUGCACAGCCUGCCCUGCAGAGCUGGUGGGCAUCCCAGCAAAGUCCCAGAGCAGAAUGGGGGGAUCCCAGUGGGGGCUGCGGGGAGGCUGGUGGUGGCCUUGCUGUACUUACCUUUGCCCACAGCUGGAAGUUAGUGCUUCAGGUGUGAGCACGUGUUCACACUUCCCCUGCACCAGGAGUCUCCACACACCCAGUGCCUGGGCAUGCAUUUAUGCUGUGGGACGUGGGAGCACUGGGGACUGUGUAGACAAAGCCACACCUGUACCUGGGCAGGAAGCAGAGCAGGGAAUGUGCUUGGGGGUCUGUGCAUCCGUGCAUGUGUGUGUGCAUGUGCAUGUGUGUGUGCAUGUGUGUCCAUGUACGUGUGUGCAUGCAUGUGGACGUGUGUGUAUAUGUGUAUGUGUGUCUGUGCAAAAUGGAGCUGUGGUGAUCUAGUCUGCUAGAUUCUAGGGGUUAUAACUGACUUCAGGAUGGAUCACAAGUAGCUGCAUCUCUGACAAGCUAACCUUCCUGCGCUGAUCCGUGCAGGCUAUUUCUAUGACGAAUUGGAUUUGCUCCCAAACAGCCCAUUCUUGGGGAAAUGCAUUGCAUUUCUUCUUUUUUGGAUAAACGAUACGGCCUGAGAUGUGGGCUGGCUCCUCCCCUGGCUGAGCCGGGUAAAGAUGCAGCAGGGUUUAGGGACACGAUGGGUGAUGGUAACGCUGGAUGAGGGCAGCCAGUGGUUACAGGAAGCUGAAAGGUGAGAGUGCUGUGGCAAAGGCCGGCUGGAGAAGAACUGUCACCUUAGCUCAGGGGACAAAGCCCGUCAGAAGCAACUCCUCAGGAAGGAAGCUGGGGAACAAAUACCCUGACCUCACUCUCUAUCACCAAGGCCAACGGGAAGUCAGAGGACAGAAGCCCACUGGGGAGGCCCAUGCCAGGAUGGAGGACAUGCAGCAUGGACCGUGGGAACCAGAACAGAAGAACCCGUGGUGCAGACACCGAGAGUGCCGCGCGUGAGGCCACGGAGAGCUGCAGCCCUCGGCCAGGACCUCUGUGUCCCAGCUUUGAAAGCCUUUCAAAGCCUUUGAAAAAUAGGACUGCUUGCACCAAAUAGGGAUUUUAUUGUCACCUGGAGAGCGUGGCUUACAUUUCGAUGGGAGAAGACAAGGAACGUUUUGGAGCAUAGAGCGUGCUUCCCAGUCUCUGGAAGGACGGCACAGUAGAAAAGGGGUACCCCCAGCCCCGAACACGUCGCAAGCCAAGCUAUAAAUAAAGGAUGGACUGACCUCAUCAACUGUUAAAUUGGAGCCAUGAUGCGUUGCCUGGAACAUCGCGGAUGACUCCGAGCAGCACAGCAGACCAACGGCUGAGAAAGAGCUCAUUUGGUUCAUCUAACUAGGAUGCCGUCCUGCCAGAGCCCUGGGGGUUCUCAUCUCCUGGGGCAAGAGCAGCAUGCAACCCUUAUGAACCCAUCUUGGAGGGCAGUCGGGGAGCCCAAGACAAGACCAUUGGGAGCCUCAGGUUCACUCUAGGUGGUCUCUGUGCUGGAGAGCUGUAUCUCUCAUGAAAAGGACAGCUGACCAUAAGAAGGAGGUAAGUUACUCACGGACAGGAAAAUAAGAAGCUCCUACUUACGGCUGUGAUAUGCGUGGUAGCCAUUUAAUGUUAACGGCAUCCAUGUGAGACAGGUGCUAGUACUACCCCAUUUCAUAUUGGAGGACAUGUAGGCACACAGAUUGUGUGACUUGCCCAAGGCUGCCCACCUGGUUAGGGGAGCUCCAGGAUUCCAAUCCAGUCUGAACUCAACACCCGGGGUGGCACCUACAGGCUGGGGUCAACCUGGAUGACUGCCUGUUGUAUGGCCUGGCAACUAAAAAUUGUUUUAUACAUUUUGAAAUGGUUGAAAAAAUUAAAAUAAGACGAUAUUUCAUGACAUCAUGAAAUUACAUGAAAUGCAAGUUUCAGCAUCUACAAAUACAGUUUGACUGGGACAUAGCCACUCUCAUCUGUUUGUAGGCUAUCCAUGGCUGCUUACAGGGUCCACAUGGUCCACAAAGCCUGAGAUAUUUACUCUCUGGCCUUUUACAGAAGAAGUCACCAAACACUAUUCUAAAAUGUUAGCAUGCAUCAGAACCCCUUGUGGGGCUUGUUAGAAUGCAGCUUCCUGGCCCCACACCCAGUCUCUGAUUCAGUAAGUCUGGGGCAGGGCCUGGGAAUUUCAUUUCUAAAAAAUUUCCCAGGUGAUGCUCAUGCUGGUCCACAGAUCACUUUGAGAGCCACUACCCUGAACUCCAGUGCUCUACUGCUUGUCAUCAGGGUGGCCAAGUCUUUCUCACCAUGGCACCAUGGUGAGUGCCAAAGAAGCCUAGACAUCCCUAGUGCCACCUGCUGUGCAGCCACCUUUUGAGAAAGUGUCCCCAGUGAUCUUUUCCCAGGUUAGCCUUUGUGGCUCGGGCAGCUGGCUUUUCAGAGAUGUGAAACCACACAUCUUCAGAGUGAACAGCUGCUUGCCCUGAUGUGCUCAAGGGGUGCAGGAUGUGGACACAUCCUAGUGAAUGAGUCGGACAAUGUAACCAGAUCUGUCCACAACAACCCGAUGGGUGACAUUGCCAUCUGCAGCAGUGCUGUACUUCCUCCCACUGAUUUGUAAAGUGCAGUCAGGACGCUAGAUCAACUCGCUGCUGCUGAGGCCAGUGACCUCUAGGGUAUAUUUCCAUGUUCUAUGCAGUAGAUGCUCGCCUUUGUAAGCAUGUGAGUUAUUCAUGCUGUCUGUUGUGAUCCUAAGGAAUCCAACAGUCAGAACUAGAACUUCUGAAUUACAGCACAGCAUUGCUGUUUGGCGUCACCAGAAAGCAGAUUUUGAGAUUAGCAUGGGGGCCAUUAAGCGGGGCAUUCUCUCUGGAGCAAUGUCUAGCCGGGGUGGGACUGGGGAGAGGGAGAAGUGGGCUGCUGAGGAUAUCACAGAGAGAUGGCAGCCUUUCUGCAGCAAAGGCCUGAGUGCACACUCACCUGGCUAUCACUGAGAGGACCCUCUGUUCAACAGGGCCACUCGGGGGUUCCCCUGCAUGGAGAUCUGAGUGUCCAGGGAGGGGACGUGGUGAGCAUUUCUCUGUUCAAAGGAUGCAAAGGAAAAUCUGCCCCAUUCCUGCCAAAGUGGUUGAUAUGGAGGAAAGGGGAGUGCCAGUUCUAUAGGCUGAGGUGGUGGCUGUUAGAACUGCUCCUGGGCUAGUUGGUGCUCUGGAAGUUUCCCCUCUAUGUGAGAUAAAAGAGCAUAUCUUUAAGAGCUGCAACUUUGAAGCUCUAAUAUAGAAUGCUUUUAGUGGCAAGCAAUACUUUGGAAGCAGCUUGAAGACCCCUGAAGAUCCUUGGUGACCUAGGCAGUUCCUUUAUUGCCAGGGCUGUGCAGGACUAAGCUUCAACAGCGCCACCAUGGGGCAGCAGAAGUAAUUGCAGUGGUGCAUUGAGGGUUUUCUUUUGCACUGAGGACUCAAGCCCCACCUUCACCUUUGGACCUGGUAAAUCUUUGGGGUUCAUGGACAAUUCUGAGAAGGAGAUACUUAAGAGAGUGAUGUUAGAAUUUGAUGUUUUGGUUUAUUGUAUCAGAAAAUAAAAGAGGUUGGAUUUAUAACUCAGUUUGUGGUUCAUAUCAAUUUAAAUAGCUUUGAAAUGCUGAUAGGACCAUCAUGGUUUUUUGGUUGCUGAAAUCCCAUAACGAAAGCAAUGCCUCAAUAAGCUUUUAAUCCACAGCUCCCACACCCAGGUCUAUAACAAAGUUUUUACAUGCCUAUGGGGAAAAAGAAUUAUGAGGCAAACAUUUAUAAAGUUAACUUUAUUACAUUUCUAGUCCUAUUUUUUUAUUCUGCUAGUGUAUUGUUAUGUAUUUUCCUACAUAUUUAGGGCAAACAUUUUCUUCCUCUUAUAAAAUGUUAGUGAUUUUAAAUGAUGGGAUUUUAAAAAAUGUUUUUACUUGGCAAAUAAAGACUUAGCAGCCUAAUACCUACCUCUCAAAAUAUUUGUAAAUUGUACUGAUCUAUAAAAUCUAUUAAGUAUGAGAUUUGUUGAUAUGAUGACUCAUAAAAGCAAUGUAAUCCAAAUUAAAAUUUGUAAAAUGCUGCAUAAUUUA